rnacentral:rRNA from 1 species
UGGGGAAUAUUGGACAAUGGGGGGAACCCUGAUCCAGCCAUGCCGCGUGUGUGAAGAAGGCCUUAUGGUUGUAAAGCACUUUAAGCGAGGAGGAGGGUACUGGUAUUAAUACUACCAGGUACUGGACGUUACUCGCAGAAUAAGCACCGGCUAACUCUGUGCCAGCAGCCGCGGUAAUACAGAGGGUGCGAGCGUUAAUCGGAUUUACUGGGCGUAAAGCGUUCGUAGGCGGCUAAUUGAGUCGGAUGUGAAAUCCCCGAGCUUAACUUGGGAAUUGCAUUCGAUACUGGUUAGCUAGAGUGUAGGAGAGGAUGGUAGAAUUCCAGGUGUAGCGGUGAAAUGCGUAGAGAUCUGGAGGAAUAGCGAUGGCGAAGGCAGCCAUCUGGCCUAACACUGACGCUGAGGUACGAAAGCAUGGGGAGCAAACAGG